UGGUGAUGAAUGGGCAGAGUGGGUCAGUUAGGUGCAUACAGGACCUGAGUUCGAGGCUGGGGCUGACAGGUAAACAAAAUGAGGUACCGUGUUAUUGAAACAGUCCAGGGGGCAUCAGCUGUGUAGCUGAGUGAUCAUAGGGUGAAAAGAACAGCAAUAGGUGAGUCAGGGUGCUGUCCGGUAGUCACUACUACACUAGGUGAGUCAGGGUGCUGUCCGGUAGUCACUACUACACUAGGUGAGUCAGGGUGCUGUCCGGUAGUCACUACUACACUAGGUGAGUCAGGGUGCUGUUCGGUAGUCACUACUACACUAGGUGAGUCAGGGUGCUGUUCGGUAGUCACUACUACACUAGGUGAGUCAGGGUGCUGUUCGGUAGUCACUACUACACUAGGUGAGUCAGGGUGCUGUUCGGUAGUCACUACUACACUAGGUGAGUCAGGGUGCUGUUCGGUAGUCACUACUACACUAGGUGAGUCAGGGUGCUGUCCGGUAGUCACUACUACACUACGGGGGUACCAUUUGGCACGUAACCUACACUCCCCAUAG